GAUGAAGAACGUAGCGAAAUGCGAUACGUAAUGUGAAUUGCAGAAUUCAGUGAAUCAUCGAAUCUUUGAACGCAUAUUGCGCCUUCUGGUAUUCCGGAGGGCAUGCUUGUUUGAGUAUCAGUAACAACCUCAACUCUUCUUCAUUGCGGAGAAAGAGUUGGAUUUGAGCAUUUCCACAAGUUCGUCUUGGAGGAUUGCUUGAAAUAUGAGGUUCGGCCGGCAGUUGCCUGGGCUACAAGCAUUUCAUACUUAAUCCCGUCAAACGGAUUAUAUCCUUUGCUGCAGCCAACAUACAGGGUAACUUUGCCAGUGUUCCGACUGAUGCAGGAAAGUUGAGAACAGCUUUUUGCUUUCUCUUCUAAACUCGAUCUCAAAUCAAGUAAGACUACCCGCUGAACUUAAGCAUAUCAAUAAGCGGGGA
rnacentral:misc_RNA from 1 species